rnacentral:sRNA from 1 species
UCAGCAUGUUCUCCCUGGCCUAGAGGCCCG